GAAGCUUUCUGUGGGAAUAGAUUCGUCGGCAGAGGCUCUCCUCUCUCGGAGGGGGGAAAGCCUACCUGCCUCUUCUAAGCCCCCAUCCCUUAUUUUACUUCUCUUCCUCAUGAUGGUUUGCAAAAUGCUGCAUUUGACAACCCUUCUCAAAAUUCCAAAAGGAAAGAGAUUUUAGUAGGGGAGGAAUGUCCUAAAAGCCAAGCUGUGUUACAGAGACAACAUCCCUGGCCACGAGAACCUUUGCUGGGAUCUAUAACUUCAAUGCGCUCCAAGUUUCCUCGAUAGAAGUUUCUGGCUGACGGUCCCAACAUGUAACUGAGGCACAGUGAAAAGUUAUUGUUCAGAGUGUGUACUCGGGAAGCUCUCUUCCAGAGCAGAUUAAAAUCUUUCUUUUGGUGUAUUAAAAGAUACACUUCACAUCUGCCUAUUUUCAAAACGGCAAAGAUUCUUACUUUUGAGUCUCAAGGAAAAAAAAGAUUUUUUUUAAAAAGGACUGGCAUGUCGCCCUGUUUUUUUUUUUUAAUGGGGGAAGUAAUUUAAUGCUGAUAUUUCUACUUUAAAAACUUCUUUUGUUGCAGCAGUGGAUGUGCCCCGCGAUUUCCAGCUUUCUGCGGUUAGCAAUAUUAUCUUAAGUAACUUUUGGCGCCCUUCGUAAGACUUUUGGAUAUGGGACGAUUGUUUGCGCCCUCUAGGCAAGGGCUGGAUCCAAGUUCAGCACCAAAGCCCUUCACAUCCGCUCCUGCUUUCUCUCCUAUCUCCGCCAGCUCCCGCUCCCUCCCCCGCGGAGGGAGGGGGGGAGGCGGGGGAACACUACAAAGCACAGUUCCAACUACAGCCUUUGGAAACAAGACUGAGAAAAAUACAGUAGAAGAGUUACAGUUACAGAAAGGCUUCUGGUAACUUUCUCUCCAACAGGCAUAAAUUUAAACACACGCACAAAGAAACAGAUGUUCCUCAAAGGGCAGACUGGGGGUAAAAAACAUUUCCAACCCUCUCCCCUCUUCCCAAGUUGCAAAAGUAAAUCCUUGUCCAGAGUUCACAAAGAUACUAAGGCACUUGAGAGAGAGCAGGGAUGGAGGAGGAGGGAAGAAAGAAAGGAUAGUAGAGAGAGCAGUGGAGGAAACGCAGGUGAAGUAUGGAAACUAGUUCACUGCAAUCAUAUAAAUGACCCAUUGUUAGGAAGGAUAAACCCCUUAUUGGAAAUAACCUCUCCAAUCAUUUAUUUUCCAAGUGGUAGGAGGCUGCCUUGAAAUGGGAUUGUCUCUGCGCAAAGGAGGCUCCUGUCAUGCUCUCUGCUAUCCAUAUUCUUCCUG
rnacentral:lncRNA from 1 species